CAUGGGCGAAGCCUGAUCCAGCAAUGCCGCGUGAGUGAUGAAGGCCUUAGGGUUGUAAAGCUCUUUUACCCGGGAUGAUAAUGACAGUACCGGGAGAAUAAGCUCCGGCUAACUCCGUGCCAGCAGCCGCGGUAAU
rnacentral:rRNA from 1 species